rnacentral:snoRNA from 2 species
UAAUAGCACAUCAGUCAAAUUCCCGAUAGAACCAUCUCCGUGUACUAUUGGAGCCGUUAUUGUGCUGAUAUUAAAAAACAGUCACGUGGGCACCCACAAGGGGUCGACGUGUCCAGU